AGAGUUUGAUCCUGGCUCAGGAUGAACGCUAGCGGCAGGCUUAACACAUGCAAGUCGAGGGGCAGCGGGGAGGAAGCUUGCUUUCUCCGCCGGCGACCGGCGCACGGGUGAGUAACACGUAUGCAACCUGCCCCUGUCAGGGGGACAACCCGCCGAAAGGCGGGCUAAACCCGCGUACAUGCCACCGGGGCAUCCCGGAGGCAGGAAAGGCUUCGGCCGGACAGGGAUGGGCAUGCGGCGCAUUAGGCAGUAGGCGGGGUAACGGCCCACCUAACCGACGAUGCGUAGGGGUUCUGAGAGGAAGGUCCCCCACACUGGUACUGAGACACGGACCAGACUCCUACGGGAGGCAGCAGUGAGGAAUAUUGGUCAAUGGUCGGGAGACUGAACCAGCCAAGCCGCGUGAGGGAGGAAGGUACAGAGUAUCGUAAACCUCUUUUGUCAGGGAACAAAGGCGGGGACGUGUCCCCGGAUGAGUGUACCUGAAGAAAAAGCAUCGGCUAACUCCGUGCCAGCAGCCGCGGUAAUACGGAGGAUGCGAGCGUUAUCCGGAUUUAUUGGGUUUAAAGGGUGCGCAGGCGGUCUGUUAAGUCAGCGGUCAAAGCCCGGGGCUCAACCCCGGCCCGCCGUUGAAACUGGCAGUCUCGAGUUGGAGAGAAGUAUGCGGAAUGCGCGGUGUAGCGGUGAAAUGCAUAGAUAUCGCGCAGAACUCCGAUUGCGAAGGCAGCAUGCCGGCUCCACACUGACGCUGAGGCACGAAAGCGUGGGUAUCGAACAGGAUUAGAUACCCUGGUAGUCCACGCAGUAAACGAUGAAUGCUGGCUGUCCGGGGGGACUGACCCCUGGGUGGCGAAGCGAAAGCGAUAAGCAUUCCACCUGGGGAGUACGCCGGCAACGGUGAAACUCAAAGGAAUUGACGGGGGCCCGCACAAGCGGAGGAACAUGUGGUUUAAUUCGAUGAUACGCGAGGAACCUUACCCGGGCUCAAACGGGGAGUGACUCAGGCAGAGACGCCUGUUUCCCACGGGACACUCCCCGAGGUGCUGCAUGGUUGUCGUCAGCUCGUGCCGUGAGGUGUCGGCUUAAGUGCCAUAACGAGCGCAACCCCCGCGUGCAGUUGCUAACAGAUAACGCUGAGGACUCUGCACGGACUGCCGGCGCAAGCCGCGAGGAAGGCGGGGAUGACGUCAAAUCAGCACGGCCCUUACGUCCGGGGCGACACACGUGUUACAAUGGGUGGUACAGCGGGAAGCCAGGCGGCGACGCCGAGCGGAACCCGAAAUCCACUCUCAGUUCGGAUCGGAGUCUGCAACCCGACUCCGUGAAGCUGGAUUCGCUAGUAAUCGCGCAUCAGCCAUGGCGCGGUGAAUACGUUCCCGGGCCUUGUACUCACCGCCCGUCAAG
rnacentral:rRNA from 1 species